rnacentral:rRNA from 1 species
UAUACAGGCAAAUCCGUAUAACAAUACUCCGAGAACUGAAAGGCUUUUUGAAGUCUUCGGAUGGAUAGAAGAACCCCUGAUGCCGUCGAGCCAAGAAAAGUUUCUAAGUUUAGCUAAUGUUGCCCGUACCGUAAACCGACACAGGUGGGUGGGAUGAGUAUUCUAAGGCGCGUGGAAGAACUCUCUUUAAGGAACUCUGCAAAAUAGCACCGUAUCUUCGGUAUAAGGUGUGGUUCGCUUCGUAUUAGGAUUUACUCCGAAAGCGAAGAAACUUACAACAAAGAGUCCCUCCCGACUGUUUACCAAAAACACAGCACUCUGCUAACUCGUAAGAGGAUGUAUAGGGUGUGACGCCUGCCCGGUGCUCGAAGGUUAAUUGAUGGGGUUAGCAUUAGCGAAGCUCUUGAUCGAAGCCCGAGUAAACGGCGGCCGUAACUAUAACGGUCCUAAGGUAGCGAAAUUCCUUGUCGGUUAAAUACCGACCUGCAUGAAUGGCGUAACGAGAUGGGAGCUGUCUCAAAGAGGGAUCCAGUGAAAUUGUAGUGGAGGUGAAAAUUCCUCCUACCCGCGGCAAGACGGAAAGACCCCGUGGACCUUUACUACAGCUUGACACUGCUAUUUGGAUAAGAAUGUGCAGGAUAGGUGGGAGGCUUUGAGUAUAUGACGCCAGUUGUAUAUGAGCCAUUGUUGAGAUACCACUCUUUCUUAUUUGGGUAGCUAACCAGCUUGAGUUAUCCUCAAGUGGGACAAUGUCUGGUGGGUAGUUUGACUGGGGCGGUCGCCUCCCAAAUAAUAACGGAGGCUUACAAAGGUUGGCUCAGAACGGUUGGAAAUCGUUCGUAGAGUAUAAAGGUAUAAGCCAGCUUAACUGCAAGACAUACAAGUCAAGCAGAGACGAAAGUCGGUCUUAGUGAUCCGGUGGUUCUGUGUGGAAGGGCCAUCGCUCAAAGGAUAAAAGGUACCCCGGGGAUAACAGGCUGAUCUCCCCCAAGAGCUCACAUCGACGGGGAGGUUUGGCACCUCGAUGUCGGCUCAUCGCAUCCUGGGGCUGGAGCAGGUCCCAAGGGUAUGGCUGUUCGCCAUUUAAAGCGGUACGCGAGCUGGGUUCAGAACGUCGUGAGACAGUUCGGUCCCUAUCUGCCGUGGGCGUAAGAAGAUUGAAGAGAUUUGACCCUAGUACGAGAGGACCGGGUUGAACAAACCACUGGUGUAGCUGUUGUUCUGCCAAGAGCAUCGCAGCGUAGCUAAGUUUGGAAAGGAUAAACGCUGAAAGCAUCUAAGCGUGAAGCCAACUCUAAGAUGAAUCUUCUCUAAGCUCUCUAGAAGACUACUAGUUUGAUAGGCUGGGUGUGUAAUGGAUGAAAGUCCUUUAGCUGACCAGUACUAAUAGAGCGUUUGGCUUAUCUUU